UUGCAAUGCCUCUCCGAGUUGGCUGAGCUGGUCCCAAAGGCCUGCGAUCCUGUUUUGGAGAGAAACACACGUGAGUCACUGGGGCUGACAUUCUCUGAGAUCUGACAGAGUUUCUACUUUGGGAACCUACUAGCCGUGACUCAGCAGCGAUUCACCCGGGAGCAGGCCGGUGAAGCUGGGGACAGGCCUCCUCGUGGGCCCUGCUGGGGCCACUGGGAGCUGGGUCGGCGCUGGGCUCUGCAUACUGUCUCCUGGUGACCCCGUCAUGGAGCUCAGGCUGGGCCUGAGGGUCAGAGAGAGGAAGCGGUGCUCCCCAUGGUUACACAUCACGCCCCAAUCAAGCCUCACACCGUGGCACCCUCUUGAGGGACUCAGCUUUCCAGGAGGCUCUGCUGAACCAAAGCUUCAUGAUCCUCGCUCGCCCGCCCACUGGGAGAUGCUGCUGGCUUCGGCCUCCCCCUCCUCAGCCUCCCAAAUCCAGCCCCCCAGCCGGCCCCCAGCCCAGCGCGGAGCCAGCCCCCGUCACCGCAGCUGUCCACACUGACAAAGCCUGGCUGUUCGAUAAGGCCGUGCCAGCUGGAACGAGACACUUCCCGUCCGACGGGAGCUUCUGCACGGAGCCUGGGGGCAGCUGUCGGCUGGAGGAGCGUGGAGCCGGAUCUGGGGCCUGCUCGGGGCCUGCACCCUCUCCGGGCCCCCCUCCCCCAGAGGCUCCACAGGGGGCCUGACAUGGGGGGUCUGGAGGAGGGGCUUUUGCUCUCUGGACUCUCUGACCCUGAUGCUUAAAAACCCGCCCCUUUGGGAGGUACAGGGUUCUGUUGCUAGGACAGGGCUGGGGCUGGUGGAAUGUUGGCCCCUCCCUGGGUGACACAGUUUUCCUUGGUCAUCAGGUGCCGGUGACCAGAGCAGAGGCUAAAGGAAGAGGUGAAGGUCGUCUAUGUAACCAGCAGCAACGCAUGGUCACAGCCAGGAUGGACAUCGGUGUUGGCCACCAGGGAGGCAGAGCAGUGUGCUCCGGCCAAGUCUGGCCCUGGGUCCAGCAAGAAGCCACUGCGUCUCUGGAACAGCUCUGCCGAGAUCUCCACGGCAGCUGGACAGCCACUCCCGGCCCCUUUAGCUGGUCACUGGCCACUAGACACUCAUCCCACAAUGAUUUCUUGAGCACCUACUACGUGCCAGGCAUGAGGACACCAACAGACCCAAACCCCUACCCUCGUGGCAACUAUGUUCUCAGAGCACAGCCUCCUCUGACUGGGACCAGCUCUGCUCAGUCACCCAAAUCCCAGGCCCAGAUCCCAGACCCUGGACCAGACCCCAGGCCCAGACCCCAGCCUUCAGGCUCAAACCCAAGACCCAGACCCAGCACAAAUCCCAGACCCAGGUCCAGAUCACAGAAACAGACCCCAGACCCUGAUCCAGGCCCAGACCCCAGGCCCCAGAACCAGAUCCCAGACCCCAGUCCCAGAUCCAGACCCUGAGCCCAGAUCCAGACCCAGACCCCAGGCCCUGGCCCAGACACAGGCCCAGACCCAGGCCAGACCCCGGACCCUGGCCCAGACAUAGGCACAGUCCCAGACCCCGGGCCCAGACCCAGGCCCAGCAGAGCCAGCCGCCUUUUCUGGCUUGAUUCCUUUAUAAGUCUCUAAUUACAUCCUGGGAGAAGCAAUUAGAAUGAAACGGAGGGGUUUUUCUCUCUCUCCCGCAGGCCAGGCCUGUUUAAUAACUUAAUUGAAUACACAGAAUUAUAAUUACAACGUUAA